UGGUGAUUAAAUAGUCCUCCACCCCAAUUUGUGACCUUCUAGAGUUAAAAAUCUAUUAAUUAGCUACUAAUUGAUAACAAAAUAGUAAAGAAUCGUAGCGGCUAAUUGACAACUACUAAUUUAUUACUCCUAGAGCUUAAACUCUAGCGGCCAACACAGAAGAGUUAAAAAUCCCAAUAGCCAAUUGAUAACUACUUAUUAAUUACUCCUCC
rnacentral:lncRNA from 1 species